AAUGCUACUUUGAGAGGACUCUGUG
rnacentral:piRNA from 1 species